rnacentral:rRNA from 1 species
AGGAAUUUUCCGCAAUGGGCGCAAGCCUGACGGAGCAAUGCCGCGUGUGUGAAGAAGGUCUUCGGAUUGUAAAGCACUUUCGGCGGGGACGAUGAUGACGGUACCCGCAGAAGAAGCCCCGGCUAACUUCGUGCCAGCAGCCGCGGUAAUACGAAGGGGGCUAGCGUUGCUCGGAAUGACUGGGCGUAAAGGGCGCGUAGGCGGUUUACCAAGUUAGAUGUGAAAUUCCUGGGCUCAACCUGGGGACUGCAUUUGAUACUGGUAGGCUUGAGUAUGGAAGAGGGUCGUGGAAUUCCCAGUGUAGAGGUGAAAUUCGUAGAUAUUGGGAAGAACACCGGUGGCGAAGGCGGCGACCUGGUCCAUAACUGACGCUGAGGCGCGAAAGCGUGGGGAGCAAAC